rnacentral:rRNA from 1 species
CUGGCGGCGUGCCUAAUACAUGCAAGUCGAAACGGGUCUUUCUAUGGAAGCGUUGCUUCCACUGAGAAGAUAGUGGCGAAACGGGGUGAGUAACACGUGGGUAACCUGCCCAUAAGAGGGGGAUAACAUCCGGAAACGGGUGCUAAUACCGCAUAGUUUUCUUGAUCGCAUGAUCGGGAAAGGAAAGACGGCCUUUGUGCUGUCGCUUAUGGAUGGACCCGCGGCGUAUUAGUUAGUUGGUGAGGUAACGGCUCACCAAGACGAUGAUACGUAGCCGACCUGAGAGGGUGAUCGGCCACAUUGGGACUGAGACACGGCCCAAACUCCUACGGGAGGCAGCAGUAGGGAAUCUUCCGCAAUGGACGAAAGUCUGACGGAGCAACGCCGCGUGAGUGAAGAAGGUUUUUUCGGAUCGUAAAACUCUGUUGUCAGAGAAGAACAAGUUGGAGAGUAACUGCUCCAGCCUUGACGGUAUCUGACCAGAAAGCCACGGCUAACUACGUGCCAGCCGCAGC